ACCGUUCUUCCAAAGCAAAUAAACACAUUUUGUCCCAUUUUCCGUCUCACUCGAGUAUUCAUUUAUAUUCCUACCGACCACCAAGCUAAAAAUCUGUUCGGUAAAAUUGCUACUUUUUGAAAUUGCAAAAUUACAAAAACAGGGAUAUAUUUAUAAGUUUAUUUUCACCCUGAAUAAAUAAUUCGCAAUGUGUGGUGACACGAGGCAAAAGCAAACCAAAUGUAUCGCACUGUUUCAAUCGAUUUGUGGAACAGCACUGAUUUUCUUCUUACUCGUAAUACCUUCAGCAAGUGAUGAGUGGAACCAAUACGACCGAGGAAAUAUCCUCUAUUACGUGUUGAUCGGGGCCAUUCUGAUUUCUAUUUCGUCAGCAAUUUCAUUAUACCGUGGAGCAAAAAAUGUAGGUAUACACAUUUCUUGUAUUUGGAUAAUUCACUUGUACAUAUUGCACAGUGCUUCUAACCACUUUACCCGUUUUCACCUGCAAGAAAUGCAAAGGUGCAAGAAAAUCUUCCCUCCAAUAAGGUGC